rnacentral:rRNA from 1 species
AUUGAACGCUGGCGGCAGGCUUAACACAUGCAAGUCGAGCGGGGUGAUGGUGCUUGCACUAUCACUUAGCGGCGGACGGGUGAGUAAUGCUUAGGAAUCUGCCUAUUAGUGGGGGACAACAUCUCGAAAGGGAUGCUAAUACCGCAUACGUCCUACGGGAGAAAGCAGGGGAUCACUUGUGACCUUGCGCUAAUAGAUGAGCCUAAGUCGGAUUAGCUAGUUGGUGGGGUAAAGGCCUACCAAGGCGACGAUCUGUAGCGGGUCUGAGAGGAUGAACCGCCGCACUGGGACUGAGACACGGCCCAGACUCCUACGGGAGGCAGCAGUGGGGAAUAUUGGACAAUGGGGGGAAGCCUGAUCCAGCCAUGCCGCGUGUGUGAAGAAGGCCUUAUGGUUGUAAAGCACUUUAAGCGAGGAGGAGGCUCUUUUGGUUAAUACCCAAGAUGAGUGGACGUUACUCGCAGAAUAAGCACCGGCUAACUCUGUGCCAGCAGCCGCCGCCG